AGCAAUUUUUUCUUCUUUAUUUUUGUUAAAUAAGAUUCCAGAAAGUAUAGUGCAAACACUCAGUAGAAAAGUUGCAAUUAAGAAAUGUACAUUCACAUUUAACAUUUCAGUCCAUUCACUGGUUUUUGCUUUUUAAAUAAAAAUAGGACAAAUUAUUCAAUUACUUGUCUCAAUUUAACAAUCUUGGAAAAGACUGGAAGGUGCUCUACAGUGUUCAGUUGACGUAAAAAUAGACCCGUAUUGAUUAUACAAAUCUAUCACGAGAGGUUCCCCAGUGAUAUUGAGUUGGUGUCCUUCUGGAACAGACAUCUGGUUUCCGCGUCUAAAGAAGCACUCUCAGCAAGGUCUACUGAUGGGAGAACGUGUCACCCAGGCCCACUCUGUGCUCCCAGGCGGGACACGGAGGGACACAGGGGUUCACACAAACCCUUCUCAGACAAUCAAGAAAGUCCAAGCGGGGGCUUUGGGUUUACCUUAAAUGAGAGAUGGUUGUAAUUGUUACAUUAUCUCUGCUUGUGCAAGGCGGUGUGCAAUCAGUGUGAAGGAGAGAUGGAGGAAGGGGGCGGGGCUCUGCAGGUGUGCAGGAGAUGCAAGGCUCAGGGUCCAGGAUCCGCCGUGGCGGGACGCUCUGCGGCCAGCCGGCAGACGACCCGUGGUGGCCUGGGCCUGUCCCUUUGCACAUGCUGCAUGUGUUGGAAUCCAAACGAAGUUUCACACACUUGGGAAUCUCACAGCAUGCGAUGCUGAGUGCGUGUGGCUUGCGGGGCCGCAGUUUCCAACGGGGAGAAAGGCAGGACUGCAAGCCUCUCUGGGGCUGAUGCCCGGGGAGCGCCCUACGGGCAGGUGCAAGAGGCCGUGGAGGCUUCCUCGGGACUCCCGGAACGUGGGAGUGGUCCCCUGAGACUGAGAUCUGCCCUGGGUGUCCUCCUGUCCCCAGGAAGGGACACUACACCACGUGAUGAGGACAUUGGCCGGCUCUGGCCAGGAGUUGGGGGCUGGCUUGGCUCCUUGUGAGGGGAGAGGCGUGUGCAGCUUGGGGGUUCCAGGGGGCCUGGCUCUCCCCCUGGCUGAUGUCAGAGAGGCCUUACAGGAAGAGACAGGACGACUGUGCUCCUGGCCGAGGGAGAGGCUGUUUACUAAGACACGAUGGCAGGUGGUACUGCGGACAUGGCUUCAGGACAGAAAGUGUAACAAGACAGGGCGAGGUGGGCUCCUUUGGGCCCCCACUGUGUCUCUGCUGGGGAUCAGCUGUUCAAGCAGAGGCAGGGCUCAGCCGCGAGCACAUGCCCUGUUCUCAUCUCGCCACGUGAGGCCUGGGUGAGGAUGACCUUGUGCCUGGGCACAUCCCUGGAUGGGCUGUGGGGCAAGCCCCCGGCCUGAGGACCCACCUGGCUGCUCAGAACCAACCUGCCAGGCACCCCCGCCACUUGUGCGUGCACGGGCUAAGGGCUCCAUCAACACCAACACUUCACUGAGUUCAUGGUUAGCUACGAGGCGCCCAAGAGAACGGACACCCAGGGGCUUGGGAUGGAUGGGACCCGGAUGCCUCCUGGUCCUGCGCUCAGUGCUGUGCAACUUUGUCCAAGUCUGUCACCUCUCUGAGCCUCUGAUUCCUCACGGACAACGUGGGGCGUGUAAGCAGGCCUCCCUCUGCAGACUGUCUGGAGGAGAGCGGGCUCGAGGCCGGGAAGGCGCUCCUUGCGGUCACAGGCAAAGCCCAUCAGAGUCAUCUGCUCACCAAAGCCCCCACGGGCCUCCCCUGCGC
rnacentral:lncRNA from 1 species